rnacentral:snoRNA from 1 species
AACCCAUGGUGAGGGCACCUUCUCAGUAAGUCCUUGUAUCUCUCCCAUUCAUCGUAGAGUGUGUCUAAAUCCAUUUGUGCAAAAGACGAGAUAUCAUUACGUAAUUU